rnacentral:tRNA from 1 species
AUCUGGGUGGCUCAGUUGGUUAAGCAUCUGACUUUGGCUCAGGUCGUGAUCUCACAGCUUGUGGGUUCAAGCCCCGCAUCAGGUU